CGCCUAAGGAGCCGACCGUCAGUUGCAAAUUUGGGCUGGCAUCAGUUCAACCGUCCGUUACGGCUGAUGCGAGAUUUGUGACGGACUGGUGAUGGAUGGUCUUGUUCGCGGAACCUCUCCAUCACGACUUAAUCAACGAACUACGCACGUAGAGGCUUUGGUUGUGGGACAACAGGACGGGGGUUCAAUUCCCCCCGCCUCCAUGA
rnacentral:tmRNA from 1 species